GACGUAGGUGGCGAACGUUAUCCGGAUUUAUUGGGCGUAAAGGAUGCGUAGACGGUAAAACAAGUUACUACUUGACGUCGAGCUCAACUUGACUGAAAUUAGUAAUACUAUUUUGCUAGAGAUUGGGAGAAGUUGAUGGAAAUCUAUGUGGAGGGGUGAAAUGCGCAGAUAUCAGGAGGAACACCGGUGGCGAAGGCGGGUCUCUGGGCCGAAACUGACGCUGAGGAGCGAAAGCGUGGGGAGCAAAAGGG
rnacentral:rRNA from 1 species